rnacentral:rRNA from 1 species
CCCCUAGUAACGGCGAGUGAAGCGGGAAGAGCUCAAAUUUGAAAUCUGGCAGUCUUCGAUUGUCCGAGUUGUAAUCUAUAGAGGCGUUUUCCGUGCCGGACCGUGUCCAAGUCUCCUGGAAAGGAGUAUCAAAGAGGGUGAUAAUCCCGUACUUAACACGACCACCGGUGCUCUGUGAUACGUCUUCUACGAGUCGAGUUGUUUGGGAAUGCAGCUCAAAAUGGGUGGUGAAUUCCAUCUAAAGCUAAAUAUUGGCGAGAGACCGAUAGCGAACAAGUACCGUGAGGGAAAGAUGAAAAGCACUUUGGAAAGAGAGUUAAACAGUACGUGAAAUUGUUGAAAGGGAAACGAUUGAAGUCAGUCGUGUUCUUUGGAUUCAGCCAGUUCUGCUGGUCUACUUCCUUGGAACGGGUCAACAUCAGUUUUGUCCGGUGGAUAAAGGUAGUAGGAAUGUGACUUCUCCGGAAGUGUUAUAGCCUAUUAUCACAUACACUGGGUGAGACUGAGGACUGCAGCUCGCCUUU